CAUUGCUAUCUGAAUUCGACUAAGCCAUGCAAGUCUUGGGUUAAACCAAGGCAAACAGCUCAGUAACACGUAGUUAAUCUGCCCUUAGGUCUAGUCUAAUCCCGGGAAACUGGGGCCGAGGACCUGAUAGGUAAUGGAUACUGGAAUGUACUAUUACUGAACUAAGGAUGGGACUGCGGCCGAUUAGUUAGUUACCUGGGUAAAGUCCUGAUAAGACGAUAAUCGGUACGGGCCUUGAGAGAGGAAGCCCGGAGAUGGAUUCUGAGACAAGAAUCCAGGUCCUACGGGACGCAGCAGGCGCGCAACUUCCACAAUGCACGCAAGUGUGAUGGAGGAAUUCAGAGUGCUUUUCUGUAUUUCAGGGAAGCUUUUGUUGAGUCUAAACAGCUCAACGAAUAAGGGGUGGGUAAGACGGGUGCCAGCCGCCGCGGUAAUACCCGCGCCCCGAGUGAUGAUCACGUUUAUUGGGCUUAGAGCGUUCGUAGCCGGUUUAGUUAGUUUCUAAUGAAAUUCCGUAGCUAACUACGGAGCUUGUUGGAAAUACUGCUAGACUUGGGACCGGGAGAGGCCAGGGGUAUUAUUGGGGUAAGGGUAAAAUCUUAUAAUCCCAAUAGGACCACCUGUGGCGAAGGCGCCUGGCUAGAACGGAUCCGACGGUGAGGGACGAAAGCUAGGGGAGCAAAGGGGAUUAGAUACCCCCGUAGUCCUAGCCGUAAACGAUGCCCGCUAGACAUUGGCAAUCUUACGUGGGUUGCCAGAGUCGUAGAGAAAUCGUUAAGCGGGCCGCCUGGGGAGUACGGUCGCAAGGCUGAAACUUAAGGGAAUUGGCGGGGGAGCACACAAGGGGUGGAGGCUGCGGUUCAAUUCGAUUCAACGCGAGGAACCUUACCAGGAGCGACAGCAGAAUGAAGGUCAGGCUGAAGGUCUUACCAGACAAGCUGAGCGGAGGUGCAUGGCCCGUCGUCAGUUCGUGCUGUGAAGUGUCGAGUUAAGUCUCGAAACGAACGAGACCCGCACCAUAUGUUGCUACUGUAUCUUUUGAUGCAGGCACUUAUAUGGGACUGCUAGUGAUAAACUAGAGGAAGGAGCGGUCGACGGCAGGUCAGUAUGCUCUUAAUCCCCUGGGUUACACGCGGCCUACAACGACUAGGACAAUGAGAUGCGACCCCGAAAGGGGGAGCUAAUCUUCAAACCUAGCCUUAGUUCAGAUUGAGGACUGCAACUCGUCCUCAUGAAGGCGAAAUCCCUAGUAGUCGCUGGUCACCAUCUAGCGGCGAAUAUGUUCCUGCUCCUUGCACACACUGCCCGUCAAGCCAACCGAGUGGAAUUGUGACGAGCUCUUGGUUCUUGCCAAGAUCAAGUUACAGUUUUGUGAGGUGGGCU
rnacentral:rRNA from 1 species